CUGGGCCGUGAUACACUGUGGGUCCUUCUCCUCUCUCGCUACUCACCCCCCCCCCCUCAUAAAACAAAUCCUUGAAGCCUCACCCCUCACCCCCCCCACCUCCAAAAAAGACAGAAAAAACCAUAUAGUAGACCCCAAUCACUCAAUAGGGUCACAGUGUAAAAAAAAAAUAUAUAUAACCUCACCAAAAAUUGUAAAUCAACUGUCUGGGAAAUACAAAAAAAAAUUAACUGAAUCACGAAAUACCAAAAAAAAAUAAAAAAAAAAAAUAAAAAAAAAAUUAAAAUCUCACGCAUGAAAGAGUUACAUCUCCGGAAAAUAAUGAUGGUGUUAUAUGUGCGACGCAGAUAGAUGACACAGAAGAGAUUGUUGAAGAGUUGUGGGUCGACGUACAACAGUGAGAGAGAGAGAGAGAGAGAGAGAGGACUUUCCUACGCCCCGUUGUCUAAUACCUGUACAAGAGCUGAGUUCGGGGUAGAAAUUCAACAUAUGAUCAUUUUAUUAAAGAAGCUCCGGACUAAAGGUGUGCAGGUGUUCAGAUUCACAGUGGAUAUGUCAUGGCGAGGAGAGAUGUCAUCGUCCUCUUACCAAUCAUCACUAUCCUUCUAUCCAUCUUCGCCUCACCUGCCAACCCUACCUCAUCCCUAAACAACAUCCCUCUACCCUCUACCAGCACGGAACUAUCCUCCCAAAUCCACCACCACAACAACAUCUCCUCUCUAUCCUCAACGUCCUAUUCUAAGACUUCAUCCUAUAUCCUCCGGGAGAAGCUGACGGAGGAUGACCGCGCUUACGAUGUCAAAAUCCUACCCAAUGAUCACCUGGUUUCAAUCUUUCUACUGGAUGGACAGAUAAAGAGGCUGGUGUUCCCUCUAGUGGUGGAGGGCCCACUCACCCUCCUCGUCACCCCAUGCUCCUCGCCCCUCUCUUGGUCCCUCUCCCUCCGCCCACUCUACACCCACACCACUCACCACACCCUCCCAUCUGAAUCCACCCCAAAGAACAUCUCAGGAGGACACCAGUACCAAGAAUGCCUCUCAAGGUUUCCCACACUACGGAAACACACAAAAGACUCCACUUGAAGUUGUCAGUGUUAACAAGAUUCACAAUAGUGUCGCUGCUUCAGAUGAGUCGACCUCCAUACAUAACCAUACCAGCCCAGUGUUAAGUACCUUGAACUUAUUAAUUUACAAGUAUCUGAAGCCUCAUGUGUAUCGAACUAAAGGUGAUAAUGAAGCAAUUAAGAGAAAUACAACGAGAAAGAUGAUAAAUAAUCCCUCCAUGAUAACUGAUGAAGGUGGAGAUACGGUAAAAAAAGAUAAGGAUAGUGGAGAUAAGAAGGAAAUAUUGAUUGAGUGGUACGAGGGCCAUGAGCCGAGGCAGCACACACAGCGGAUGGCAGCACCUGGACUUUACGUAUUGCAGGUAAAGACGCUGGCAGGAGACAGCCACGUGCACAUUGACGCCACAGCGGCCUGGCAGCCCACUCCACCCACCGCCCACAUCACCACCACCCGCACACCCACCCUGGGGCAAGGCCGUCACUCUCAGGUGGACCACCAGCGGCAGGAGCGGCGGCUACUGUCUGGCUAUGAGCGAGGGCCGCCACUUUCCGUCGCUGUGCCGCCCGUGCAGCCCUGUCGCCGCCCACACGUCGCCGACACCGCCGACACCGCCGCCUGAAGAAGAGUAAGCGAGGGCCGCCUGUUGUGCUGGGGUGUACAGACCGCCCUUGGUACACUCUGCCCCACCCCACCCUGCCGCCCAUUGCACGUGGUAGUAUGGGCGGCUGGCAUGGCUGGGCCGCCCCUCGGACGUGGGGUGGUUCCUGCUACGCCUAAGAGAAGAGUACCGCGACUCAAACCAGGAUCCUUCUUAAAGCUGGUGCCUUCUGCCGCAGGUCUGGCCAAGGCCAAGUUUCGCGUUAAACGAGGCGGCCAUCUGCUGCACGUGAUGGCCGUAGCUCAGGCGCUAAGGUGCAGUUACGGGUGGAGUCGCAGUGUGGGGAGCGGCUAGCAGGUGCGGUGGGCGGUGUCGGGGUGCUGCACCUAGCCGUAAGGAGCCCCUCCCCUGAAGCCCUUGUCCUGGCCCUCAAGACCAGCCUCCAGGCAGCCAACAAGGUGCUGCUGGCCGCCGCCCACACCGCCCGCGCCCUCCCCUUCCCACGCCUGCCCCGCAACUCUCGUGUAAGGGUAGGGCGCGUCACCUGCAACUCCGCCACCUUCAGGUGGUCGGCUGCGCCCGGGUUACAGUCCUACUGCAUCCUGGUGAAGGAGGACAAGAGCGGUAAGAUGUGGAGGACGCGGCCGCCUUUACAGUGUGGCUGGAGGGCGGAGCUGCGGCAGGCGGCACAAUACGCGGCGCGGUGGUGUGGCCCACCCACACCUGCAGGCCGCCAGCGACACACCUCAACACCCUCACCCUGCCACCACCUACACUGCCACUGUGUUGGUGCGUCACCCCACCACCGGCCAACACCUCUCCCUCACCCCAGUAAACCUCACCACAGACCACCACUGUUAACCUCAUAAUAAACUAACACAUACAUUAUCACCUAUAUCACCACCACUCGUACCAUCAUCACCACCAACACCUUCACCAUCACCACCACCACUCACUAUCAUCA